GACCUAUUCUGGAGUGCAAUUACUUCUUAACAGUUGGAUUGACAACUGCAGGUGAAGGAAAGAAUGAUACUUUGAGUAAAUUAAAGGAGGUUCCUGUUUGUUUCCAAUCUGUUGAUGAAUAUGUUGAAAUUUUUCGUCCACUUAUAUUGGAAGAAUUUAAAGCACAAUUGCAGAGUUCCUUUCAGGAGAUAACUUCUCUAGAAGAGAUGUCUU
rnacentral:misc_RNA from 1 species